AAACCAACAGGGAUUGCCUUAGUAGCGGCGAGUGAAGCGGCAAGAGCUCAAAUUUGAAAUCUGGUACCUUCGGUGCCCGAGUUGUAAUUUGAAGAAAGCUAUCUUGGAUUUGGCCUUUGUCUAUGUUCCUUGGAACAGGACGUCAUAGAGGGUGAGAAUCCCGUCUGAUGAGGUGUCCAUUUCUAUGUAAGAUGCUUUCGAAGAGUCGAGUUGUUUGGGAAUGCAGCUCAAAGUGGGUGGUAAAUUCCAUCUAAAGCUAAAUAUUGGCGAGAGACCGAUAGCGAACAAGUACUGUGAAGGAAAGAUGAAAAGAACUUUGAAAAGAGAGUGAAAAAGUACGUGAAAUUGUUGAAAGGGAAGGGUAUUUGAUCAGACUUGGUAUUUAGUUAUCAUUGCUCCUUGUGUGUGAUGCUCUAGCUUUUUACUGGGCCAGCAUCAGUUUUGGUGGCAAGAUAAUGACAGUUGAACGUAGCUCCUCGGAGUAUUAUAGCUUCUGUUGAUAUUGCCUACCGGGACUGAGGUCUGCGGCUUUGCCUAGGAUGCUGGCGUAAUGAUCUAAUACCGCCC
rnacentral:rRNA from 1 species